rnacentral:rRNA from 1 species
GAUGAACGCUGGCGGCGUGCCUAAUACAUGCAAGUCGAGCGAACGGACGAGAAGCUUGCUUCUCUGAUGUUAGCGGCGGACGGGUGAGUAACACGUGGAUAACCUACCUAUAAGACUGGGAUAACUUCGGGAAACCGUAGCUAAUACCGGAUAAUAUUUUGAACCGCAUGGUUCAAAAGUGAAAGACGGUCUUGCUGUCACUUAUAGAUGGAUCCGCGCUGCAUUAGCUAGUUGGUAAGGUAACGGCUUACCAAGGCAACGAUGCAUAGCCGACCUGAGAGGGUGAUCGGCCAGACUGGAAGUGAGACACGGUCCAGACUCCUACGGGAGGCAGCAGUAGGGAAUCCUACGCAAUGGGCGAAAGCCUGACGGAGCAACGCCGCGUGAGUGAUGAAGGUCUUCGGAUCGGAAAACUCUGUUAGUAGGAAAGAACAUAUGUGUAAGUAACUGUGCACAUAUUGACGGUACCUAAUCAGAAAGCCACGGCUAACUACGUG